rnacentral:tRNA from 1 species
AACAGCGUGGCUCAGUGGAAAGAGCACGGGCUUGGGAGCCAGAGGUCAUGGGUUCGAAUCCCGGCUCUGCCA